rnacentral:lncRNA from 1 species
CUAAAGCAUCAUGGGUAAUUUCAUUGUUCGUACCCCAAAGUGAAAAUAACGUUACGUCAUUGGUUGAAUUUCGAUUGUUUAGGACGUUUUAAACCAAUCAAAACGCUUUGGUGUACGCUUUUGAAAAUAUUACCCAGGAUGCAUUAGAUUCUGAAACGGCGAAUUCAUGAUGUCCCUUUGUUAUAGUGCUCCUCACUUUUAGUGAAGGAGAAUUAUGCUUUAUUCAAACGAUUAAUGAAAAUGUCCAAAUACACAAAAUACCAGCCUUAUAACAGAAAUUGAGUAACAAUAAACAACCGAUUGGCAUUUUCGACAAAAACAAAUGCAGUCGUUUUAUUCAAAAAAUCUUCAAUUUUGCUUACUAUAUUUACAUGAAAAUAUAUCGUAUCGAAUCGUUUGAUAAUCAACAAAAACAUUGCUAUAGACCAGCUAUGGUGCAGAUUUAUAAAAAAAAAUAUGGAUUUUCUUAAUGCUCUUAACGUUGUAGAUUUUUUGAUGCGAUUGAAUUAGGUUUUUUUUUCUGAAAUCUUUCCUGUUCGGCUUC